rnacentral:rRNA from 1 species
AUUGAACGCUGGCGGCAGGCCUAACACAUGCAAGUCGAGCGGAUGAGAAAAGCUUGCUUUUUGAUUCAGCGGCGGACGGGUGAGUAAUGCCUAGGAAUCUGCCUGUUAGUGGGGGGUAACUCGGGGAAACUCGGGCUAAUACCGCAUACGUCCUACGGGAGAAAGUGGGGGAUCUUCGGACCUCACGCUAACAGAUGAGCCUAGGUCGGAUUAGCUAGUAGGUGGGGUAAUGGCUCACCUAGGCGACGAUCCGUAACUGGUCUGAGAGGAUGAUCAGUAACACUGGAACUGAGACACGGUCCAGACUCCUACGGGAGGCAGCAGUGGGGAAUAUUGGACAAUGGGCGAAAGCCUGAUCCAGCCAUGCCGCGUGUGUGAAGAAGGUCUUCGGAUUGUAAAGCACUUUAAGUUGGGAGGAAGGGUAUUCACCUAAUACGUGGGUACUUUGACGUUACCAACAGAAUAAGCACCGGCUAACUUCGUGCCAGCAGCCGCCGUAACAC